rnacentral:rRNA from 1 species
GAUCCUGGCUCAGGAUGAACGCUGGCGGCGUGCUUAACACAUGCAAGUCGAACGAAGAAGGUUAGAAUGAGAGCUUCGGCAGGAUUUCUUUCCAUCUUAGUGGCGGACGGGUGAGUAACGUGUGGGCAACCUGCCCUGUACUGGGGAAUAAUCAUUGGAAACGAUGACUAAUACCGCAUGUGGUCCUCGGAAGGCAUCUUCUGAGGAAGAAAGGAUUUAAUUCGGUACAGGAUGGGCCCGCA